UACGUAGGGUGCAAGCGUUAAUCGGAAUUAUUGGGCGUAAAGAGCUCGUAGGCGGCUCAGUAAGUCGGGUGUGAAAGCUCUGGGCUCAACUCAGAGACGCCAUCCGAUACUGCUGUGGCUAGAGUCCGGUAGGGGAGCGCGGAAUUCCUGGUGUAGCGGUGAAAUGCGCAGAUAUCAGGAGGAACACCAGCGGCGAAGGCGGCGCUCUGGGCCGGAACUGACGCUGAGGAGCGAAAGCGUGGGGAGCGAACAGG
rnacentral:rRNA from 1 species